GUGAGACAUAUUAUCUAAUAAAAAUCAUGCAAUCUAGCUUGUUCACUUUGUAACGUAUAAUAACUGGAAGUUGAUCAAAGAAAACUACUUUCAUUUUCAUUACUACAUUGUUCCUAUUUUUAUGAACAAAAUUUAAAAUGUAUGAUAAAAAUCCAAUAUACGGUAAUUGAAACAUACAGUCUGACCUCACAUUGCUCUGAUAAAUCUGUUCAUUUCUGGCCAUUUUCAGUGUUGCUAUAGUGAACAGUGUUGACAAGGGGAUGAAAAAAAGCUUAUAAAUGGAAUUUUGAUCAUAGAUAAAGCUGAACAUAAACUAUCUCCCAACAUUUCUGCAUGUUGGGAGGCCCGGUUUGUGCCACAGAUGGCCAUCUCCCAAUAAUACAUAAAACAUUUCUUGUUGGAGCUCGGCACAUGUUGUUGAAUGCACAGGUCAUCUGAACAGAACAAUAAUUCAAUUCACUUAAUAAUGACCUCACUGGGAACAAACACAGACACACGAUGAUGCUGUUAGAAGAACAAAACCAUACUAGAGUUUUAAAAAUGAAAUUCUUAAAAAGUCGCCAUGCUCUUGUGAAAAUAGCACUUAAAUAUAUUCAGUGUUUAGCGACCAGGCAGGCUCACUGAGUUUAUUUUAGGCUCUUGAAUUUUACUGCAGUGUCGCUGCCAUGUUUUCUCCAUUUUCAGGCUGGUAGCUUUCCUGGAAAGGUCAGUGGUGCCCACUGAACCCUCUAUUGGCUUAUUGGCUGAGCUCAUUGAUGAAGAAGCCUUGAGUACAUCAUUUUUUCUUCUCAAAGAGCUGAGAUGGCAGUCCAUGAAGAAUGACUGCAGAAAGUUUCAGAAGGACACAUGGGAAUCAUUUAACCAGACCAAUAAAACCUGCUAUUUAUAUUACAAGCUAACCAUCACCUGGAAGGAAGAAAUGUUGGGCAUGGCACUAACUGAUGUGUAUAUUUACCGUGAAGUUUACCCCAGGUGAAAAGAGGAAACCAGCUGUGUGAAUGGAAUUUGGAGAAAGGGCACAACCAUCAGACGAAGUGGGAGGAAGAAACAUUAACUUCAACAGCUGUUUCUUGACCCCGGCUGUCAGUCUUCCCAAGAAUAAAUUUUGGAGAGUCCUAUUUGAAACAAAGAGGGAGUUUUGGGGGAGAGAAAAGUUGGUUGGUUCCAGGGCGACCGCCCAAAGGAGCUGGGAACAAGAUGUUGGCAGUUACCACGCAGCCUGCCUGCCUCUGCCGGGUGCAGAGAUGGAGCAAAGUAACUUGAAAGCUCCCCUCUCGGCGCCCUGUGCCUGCAGCUUCCCCCCCUAACGCGCGCCCAGAUCCAGCGCCGGUGGUAAGAGCCGUAGCUCGACUACAGUAAUUCCCCAGCUCGGGCGGCUUGAAACUGCUCGGGCUGAAUAGCAUUUGCUGUUCCGUCCUGUGGCCGCCUCCCGCCGCCGCUGCCGCGCUCCCUGCAAAGCAGCUCUCAUUAUCCCGGAAGUUGUGCUGACACAGUCUCGCUGCCACCAGAAGUUUGUCAACAUCAAACUUCUCCUGUGUGGGGUACGUUCACCUUCCACGAGUAUUUAAUCGAGCCAACAAGCAAACAAACAAACCCAAAUAAACCUGCCCGUGAUGUCA
rnacentral:lncRNA from 1 species